rnacentral:rRNA from 1 species
UACGGAGGGUGCAAGCGUUAUCCGGAUUUACUGGGUUUAAAGGGUGCGUAGGUGGGUAGGAAAGUCAGUGGUGAAAUCUUCGGGCUUAACCCGGAAACUGCCAUUGAUACUAUUUGUCUUGAAUACUGUGGAGGUCAGCGGAAUAUGUCAUGUAGCGGUGAAAUGCUUAGAUAUGACAUAGAACACCAAUUGCGAAGGCAGCUGGCUACACAAAUAUUGACACUGAGGCACGAAAGCGUGGGGAUCAAACAGG